UACGGAGGGUGCGAGCGUUGUCCGGAAUCAUUGGGCGUAAAGGGCGCGUAGGUGGCCCGGUCAGUUCGUGGUGAAAGCGCGGGGCUCAACCCUGCGUCGGCCAUGAAUACUGCCGCGGCUGGAGCACUGUAGAGGCAGGCGGAAUUCCGGGGUGUAGCGGUGGAAUGCGUAGAGAUCCGGAAGAACACCGGUGGCGAAGGCGGCCUGCUGGGCAGUUGCUGACACUGAGGCGCGACAGCGGUGGGGAGCAAACAGG
rnacentral:rRNA from 1 species